rnacentral:tRNA from 1 species
GCCCCGGUAGCUCAGCGGAUAGAGCAUCUGUCUUCUAAACAGGGGGUCGUGGGUUCGAAUCCCACCUGGGGCACCA